GAGAGUGCAUUUCACAAGGAGGCUCCUGAAGAUGAGCGCCGGUUUUCCAGAAGGAAGGUAAACACAAGUGAAGAGGACUUGCGGACAGAUUGUAUGGAAGCAGUCCAUGACAAUGGGGAAUUGUCAGAUCUGGGGAAGCAUCACUCUGAGAAAUUGCUAUGUGGUGCUGAUGGCCUGCCAUUGAUGACUGGUGCUAAUCAUGAGCUGGAAAAAGGCUGGCUUCUUGCCAAAUAUAAAUUCAGUAGUCUCCUGCCCAGUUGAUGAAACGUCAGUUCCUUCUGUUUACGGGAGCUCCGUUGAUGUUCCUUUAGAUAGGGAGGUAGGUCAGGCUGUUGAUACAUCUGAAAAUAGUGCAGGCUUUGAAAAAAUGAUUUGUGAUUCACUGGGAGGAGACAUGUCGUUGUGUGACAGUGGCCUCCGUCCGGAGGCCUACGGUGAUGAGAAUCAGCAUUCUGGUCCUCAUGCUGAUAAAGAGUUGCAACAUACCUCUUCUAAAUAUGGAACCUCUGGACUAUCCCCAGAGGGAAACCUGUGUGUUUCUUCGGAUAACCAACCUUGUGGCGAUGAACCUUGUUGUAGUGGCAAGGAAUCAUCUGCUCUAUGCUUGGGUCCUCAAGAUUCUGCUGUUGGUAGAUCUGGCCAUUUGGAGCAAGGGCUCAAUGCCAGUAAUUGUGCUGAUUACAGUUCCGUUGAUUUUGUCAGCAAUUCUAAUGAUGGAGAAUUACAAAGUCAAAAGCUGACAGCAUUAAACGUGUUCAGACGUAGGAAUCCAAAAAGAGCUGCUUCAUCUAGAAGAGAUUCUGAGAGGCCUAAUCAAAUGAACCAAGCAAGUACCAGCACAUGCCAACCUAAAAAGAUUGAUGUUGCGAGCUCAUUACAGCAAAGCACCACGAGUCUGUUCCCAAACAAAAUCGCUAAGGGAAGAAGUGGCAUGAACAGACCACCAAAACCCUCUACUUGGGGCAGUCUAAAAGAGCUAUUAGAUGGCUUCGACCAAAGCUGUGGGCCGUCGACUUCUAAUUCUCAUCCAACUUGCCUGGACAAAGGAAGAUCAGAUAACAGAUCUGAUCAGAAAAGUCAGUCAAGUAUUCGCAGAAGUCGAAGUUCAAGAUCUUCAAAGAGUAAAUUCUCUUCCAUGUCUGUUACAGGGUAUGCAGCUAGUGAAUUGAAUGGGCAAUCGACCUUAUCAACUGUGGUGGAUAUAGGGCAUGCAGCUAGUGAAUUGAACAAGCAACCAGCCUGUUCAACUGUGGCUGAUACUGAUGUUUCUUUGGAAAGUCGCAGACAAAACAUUCCAAAGUUGUCUUCUGAUACAUCAAUUAGUAUUUUUGAUAGUACAAGCAAUACUGCAGAGUCUACUAACAGUUAUUGUACAGUGAAAUCAAAGUGUAUCCAGACUGAUGCGCAGCAGUUGGAAAGGGCCUUGGUGAGUUCUACUAAAGAAAAAUGUGCUGCAGAUGUCCAUGGAGGGUGUGCUAAGCUUUCAACUUCUGAACCUUCUUUUACCAAUGCCAAUGGCAGUGCCAUGCUGCAUGUUGAAUUUUCACCGGAUUCUGUUUUGGAGGUGGCUUCUGUUACAUGUGAAGGUAAUGCUUCUGCAAGCCAUGAUGUUAUGCUACAUGAAAACUCAACCAAUACUGGUGCACUGAAUGUUGGUGGCUAUCAUCCAUCUGUUUCAUCUACUUCCAACUUUGGAAAAGAACAAGCUUUAUUAUCAUUGAUGAACUUAGAGCAGCAGGCUAAAACCACUUUGCAUGACGACACCAGAAAGGAAGAGAUUGUUCCAUCUCAUGCCGUGGCAGACAAUGAUGUUGGUGAAGGAAAAGGGCAGGCUUUACAGAAGUCUAAUGCAUUGAGGAAAAUCAGAAUUGUCAGAAAGCCAGGUUGCAAAAAGAAAGAUGGAUCUAAAGGGAAAAGAAAGAGUGUUACAGGAUCCACCAAAAUUUCUCCAAGUGAAGCUUCAAAACAUAGGCCAUUUUCUAGCGAUUCAAUUUCUCCUGAUCCAUCUGAGUCAAUUCUCUGCACAAGGCCUCCAGAGUUUAGUUCUUGUUUUGAAGCCCUAACUUCUGGCACACAGGUUCAUGCUAUUUAUGAACAUGAUACCAUUGGAAGUCACUCUGUAAUGGAUGGUGGCAGAGGGAGUGCAUUUGACAGUACGAAAUCACAAAGAAGCAAAAAAAAGGAUGCUAACGCAGGAAAGAAGGGUAAGGCGCAGGAUCCACAUAAGAAAGAAAAAAGUAAGAAGAAAAAUAUAGCAGAUGACACUGCCUUUGAUCAUGGUCUUUUGAAUUUGCCUUCAUCUGAUCUGGCAGCGUCUCGUAUGAAUGAACAGAGUAAUCUUGAUCCUGCCACUGAAUUUGCACCCAAGAACUCUAGUGCCAUAUCUACUGAUUUACCUGGAAAUGUUGCAUGCAAAACAGAUGGUGCAUCUUUACCACCACCACCACCACCACGUGCUGCAUGGGUGUGUUGUGAUGAUUGCCAAAAGUGGCGCUGCAUACCUGCUGAACUUGUUGAUGUCAUUGGAGAAACAAGAUGGACUUGUAUGGACAAUGGAGACAAGGCAUUUGCUAACUGUUCUAUUCCACAAGAAAAGACAAAUGCUGAGAUCAAUGCGGAACUUGACCUUUCGGAUGCUUCAGCUGAUGAAGCAGAUGAUGACAGAUCCAACUCCAAAGCUUGCAAAGCACCAUCAUGGACAUCUAUUAGGUCAAACUUGUUUCUGCAUCGGCAACGCAGGACACAAUCCAUUGAUGAGAAAUGUGAAACCACAAUCAUCAACACCAAUUGACAAUGAACACAUCUUGGGAGUUGAAGGACAACUGAACAACCUUCUGGAUGGGAACGGAGGUAUCAGCAAACGAAAGGAUGCUACAAAUGGAUACUUGAAGCUUCUCGUUGUGACUGCAGCAGAGGGUGACAGUGCCGGGGGCACAUCUAAAAG